UGGCUAUUGCAGUAAUACUGGAAUGAACAUAGGGGUGCCUGUAUUUUUUCAAAUUAUAAUUUUGUCCGGAUAUAUGCCCAGGAGUGGGAUUGCCCAGGAGUGAUUAUAUGGCAAUUCUAUUUUUAGUUUUUGAGGAAUCUCCAUACAGUUUUCUAUAGUGGUUGCACCAAUUUAUAUUCCCACCAAUGGUGUAUGAGGAAUCCCUUUACUCUACACCUUCUCCAGCAUUUGUUAUUUGUAGACUCUUUGAUGAUAGUCAUUCUGACUGGUGUGAGGUGAUACCUCAUUGUAGUUUUGAAUCGCAUUUCUCUAAUGAUUCGUGAUGUUGAGCAUCUUUUCGUAUGCCUAUUGGCCAUCUGUCUAUCUUCUUUGGAGAAAUGUCUAUUAAAUCUUCUGCCCAUAUUUUGAUUGCAUUAGGUUUUUCGAUACUGCAUUAUGUUGAGCUGUUUGUAUGCUUUGAAUAUUAACCCCUUGUCUUUGGUCACAUCAUUUGCAAAUAUUUUCUGCCAUUCUGUAGGUUGUCUCUUGGAAGACUGGUCUAAGAAAAUAUUGCUACAAUUUAGGUCCAAGGGUGUUUUCCUGUGUUCUCUUUUAGGAGUUUUAUGAUAUCAUGUCUUGUAUUUAGGUCUUUAAACCAUUUUCAGUUUAUUUUUGUACAUAGUCUUUUAAUUUAGAUAAUAUUUACUAUUUUAAUUAUCUUUGUAUAUGUCCUGUAAUGGCUUGUAGUCUUUCAGUUAUUGUAAAACCAAAAUAGUCUUUUUAAAAACCUACUAAUGUUUCUUGAUAAUAAACUUUGUCAAUUGUAUGUAUUGAAAAAAUUCUCUGUUCCCAUCAUGCCUCAGUGGUAAUAAACCUGACUAGUAUCCUUGAGGACUUGGGUUCAAUCCCUGGCCUAACUCAUUGGGUUAAGGAUCCUGCUUUGCUGUGAGCUGUGGUGUAGGUCGAAGAUGGAGCUCAGAUCUGGUGUUGCUGUGGCUGUGGUAUAGGCUGGCAGCUUCAGCUCUGAUGCAACCCCUAGCCUGGGAACUUCCAUAUGGCUCAGGUACAGCCCUAAAAACAAACAACCUUUACUUCUAGGAAUUCUUUAAUACUGUAAGAAAACAGUCAUCAUACAAAACUUCUGCUUCACUAGAGAAGCAUUAGGAUUAUCUGUGCUCUCAGCCCGUCCUGCAGAGGGGCCUCUGCACCUGUCUUUAGAGAUCCCUAAUGUGUAAUUAGAAUCGUGAACUCUGGAAAGGGGACUGAGUACCAUGAGUUUUAGAUCGAUUCAGCAGAAGAAAAUGUUAUAGAGCAGCACUUAGUUCCAGUGGAGACAGCUGAAGCCUUCAAGCUGGGAGGCCUCGCCAAGGUGGAAGGUGGGCGAGCCUGUGGGUGUUCAACCGCCAUCUCCUGCCUGAGGGGAGCACCCCAUCCUCCCCUCCUCUGGACCCUGCAACCAGAGACUGCUGUUCUGUUUUGAGAUUGAACCAAAGGAUUCUUUCCACUAAUGUGUUUUGCUCUUUUAAAGCAUAUUAGAUUUUUGUUCAGCAUAAUUACUUUUUGCUACUGAGAUUAGAGCUGCUUCUUUAGGGGCAUUUCAGUAUUCAGCUGAACUUAAACUGUUUCAUGUGAAAUUUUAUUUGGACUUUGGGGCUUAUUUGCAGACAUAACUGCUUUUAAUGACUAUUUUAUCUUCCUAUGCUCCCUUAACACUGUAGAGUGAAAACGUUCUUUUCUUAAAUACUUUAAACUUUUUUUUGGAAACUAUAUCAAACCCAUGGAAAAGAUGCAAAUGUGGUUUAAAGAAUUUUUUCCCCUAAAUUAUAGAGCAAUUUGCCAUCCUGAUACCUCGCUACCCUCAAAUACUUGGAUAUGUGUUUCCUACAAACACGGCCACACCCAGCACAGCUGGGACGCAGCCAUUCAAAGCCAGACACUCCUGCCAUGCAAGCUGCAGACCCCAUUCAGCUUUUACCACAGUCCCAAUGGUGCCCUUGACUGUGAAGGGUCCAGCUCAGAGCAGGCCUUGUGUUUAGCUGUUCAUCCUCCAGUCUGGCCAGUUCCUCAGCCUUCCCUAAACUGGCUGGACCUUGACACGGUGGAGGUCACAGGCCAGUUAGUGUACAAAUGCCCCUCAUUUGGGGUUUGGUUUGCCGUCACCUCAUGGUUAGAUUCAGGCUCGGCAUUUCUGGGGAGUAUCCCAGAAAUGGCACUUUUUCUUCUUGUGUGUCCUCUCAGAUGCACGUGAUUUUGAUUUGUCUCAUUUCUGAUGAUUUUGAUCUCUUGGUUAAAUGGUGUCUGACAGGUUUCUCAGCUGUAGUUAGGAUUUUUUUUUUUGGAAAUAGUAAGUGUUUUAUAUAGAGAGGUAAUUAAAUGCUGUAAAUAUUCUAUUUUUCACCAAACUUUCUAUUUUUUUACUUAUUUUAAUAUGGACUUAUGGCUCUUUAUUUUAUUCAUUGGAUUGCAAUCAAUUUUUGUCAUUAUUUUGGUGCUCAAAUUGACCUCAGUUUGGCAGUAGGAGCUCCUGCAGGUUGGUUUUGGUGUCUUUCUGAUAUUUUUCUGUUGCUCCUUGAGUAAUAGCUGUAUGUUUACACACACACAUCUACACACAUACAGAUUUAUAUGCCAUGAAGGUAUACAUACACAUGCUUUAUAUCUCUGCUCAACUUUAUAUUCAACAAAUGGUAUUUUUCUUGAAGAGUGUAAAUUGGGAAUUUAGGUGUUAGUUUUUAGUAAUUUUAGGUUCUUCUUAUGUAGGUGCUCACAUUGUGCUGAGGAGAUCCCUAAAGGACUGUUUUAGCAUUAUUUACUAGAGAAUUAGCGUUAGGUGGAGCACUUUAAAAAAAACUGUCUUUAUCCCACUUAAGGGAGAACUUUUUUUUUUUUUCUUUAAGGAGUAGACAGAUACGAAAUUUAAACCUUUAAAAAGUCAUUUGGCUUUUCCUCCCUUAUGUAACUGAAGUAGCACAGCACGGUUCUCCCCAGACUUUCCUGCAAAGCCCCUUUGAAAUGUAGCUUUGUGUAGAAAAUAAUUUUUUGGAAAAGCACUUCAAGUAAAAACAAAAGACUUUUGCCAAUGUUUUGUGACUGUUCUGAUGGAAAUGCAGAGUCUGGAAACACAAUAAGGCAUGGAUUUGGUAUUCAGCAGUUUGAGCAGAUCUUAAAAGUAUAUGGGGUUAUAAAAGUAGACAAACUUCUCAGAAAACUUGAUGAAUGUGUCCAUUAUCUGGGGAUAAAGCGAUCUUAUAUUUGAUUUAAAGUCAUUUUCAUCCUGUCAGAGCCUGUGCCCAGCUGUCUUGGAGGGUGAAGUCCCUUGCCAGCUGGGCCACUGGCCUGACCAUCAGGUGCCACAUCACCCAGUGAGCUGUCUGUAGCUGGGCUGUGGCUUCUGCUUUGCCGCUGUUUCUCCAGUCUGUCUUCUCUUUUCAUCUUUUCUAACUGGGGAUCCUUAUUCUUCUCCCCGACCACCCCCCUGCUACACACCCCCACCUGUCACUGCCUUUCAAAGCAAAGCCCAGAGUUGUGUUGUGAUACCCAGGGGAAAUCCACCUAAAACCAUGCAGUCAUCCCCUACCAGGACAUCCCUGCUGGUGUCCCCAGGUCCCCAUUCUUGAGGUGACCUGAUCCACCUCAUCUCACCCAUGCCUCUGCCUUGCUUUGUUUGAAACCUUCCAAACACUUCCUGUUGCCUGGGCGACACAGGAUGCGGGCAGAUCCAGGACCACAGCAUCUCCUCGGCCUCAUCCCUGCUGUGUGCCCUCUCACCCUGUGCCCUGACGGUGAUGACCUGGUUUCAUGGGUUGCCCAGCACUGUACACCCACUGUGCUCCUCACCUGUCCCUCUGGGACCUUCUUUGGCCUGAUUGUCCUACACCGGUAUUGCUCAUGGCUGCUGAACCUCAGGUUUAGGCGUUAGAGCCUUUUAUUGGGAAGUCUUCCCCUGAUCUCCCAGACCAGGCUGGGCUCUCUGUUCCAUGCUGUCAAGGACCUGUAUUCUGUGAAGGUGUUUAGAGUGGAUUAUAAUUAUAUUUUGGAUUAUUUGAUUUUUCUUCCCACUAGGUUUUAAAUCUUGUGAGUGAAGCCUUGUAUCUGUUUUUACCCACUGUUGUCCAUGGAGCUGGAGCCCAGCACACAGUAGGUUCUCCUACGUGUUUACUGAAGAAGUGACCAGAGAAAGCAGUUGGUGAGAUGGGAAGCUGGUGUGUGGGGGGGCGGAUACAGGGGCAGGACCAGCACUGAGCUGCAUGGACGUGGUGCUGCAGUUAACAAAGGGACUGGGAUGCUGGGGCAGGAGAGUGAUGGUGUGUUGUGUGGGCAGGACUUGGGCUCUCCCUGGGGAGGGUGGGCAGGAUGGAGAGAGCACUAUGCCUCCAGGAGACGGCCAGACCAGACACACUGCUAAACUGUUGGAGGCAGGGAAGAUUCCCCAGUUCCCUGUGGCAGGUUUGGUAAGUGCCCCCCCCCGGGGGGGGGGCUUGGGGAGGCCUCCCCAGAUCCAGUGGGGAUGCCACUCUCUGACCUUGGGAGCAUGGGGGUCACUCAUGAGGGACAGUUGUGGAGACCAAGGGUCAGUGGAAUGUUCCAAUGGCCUGGUGAGAGGGGUGUGAGGAAUUCCCACGUGUGUAGGUGGGGGUGAACCUCUGUGUGCAGGGGGAGCUCUUCAGGGAACAGGUAGAGCAGAAGACUGAGGACCCCUAUCCACCAUAGGGAGCAGGAGAGGCCAGCACAGGUCCAAGGUGGGCCCUGCACAGCACUCAGGACUAGACUUUCCACCCAGAAUGGAUCUGUCUCCCGAUAAAGAUUUUGAAGUAGAAACUUUUUUUUUUCCAAUUAAGAAUAAAGCUAUAUAUGAAGCCAGGGUUUGGAAGUUUAUGACACGGCUAUUUUAACUUCACUAUUGUUGAAAAGUAUUCUACUUUUCAACACACAGUAAGAUAAGCCCAUGGUUUGUCUUUUUCUUUCCAAUUUUAAUUAUCUCUAGUUGUCUUCUUAGGGUUUAGGAUCCUAGGAACAAUGAUUUUUUCUCUGAGUUGUUGUCAUAAUUAAUUUUUUAUAAAAGCAAAUCUAAAUUCAGUAAUUCAGGAUGUAAUUUGACAAAGAAACUAUAUUUUACUGAUGAUUUUUAAAGCAUAGAAAGGAUACUUGGGAACUGAAACUAGUUAUUUAAAUUAGUGCACGUUUAUGGCUUAUCAGAGCGUUGGAUCCAUGAAAUAAGACAUUUAUGCCAAAACUAAACCUUGGGGAAAUCACUUCUUUCAUAUUUAAAACGAUUGGCUGACUUAUUAGAUACCUCUCAGUUCUGAAGGUUUAUGACUAUAUUAAAAAUUAUUUUGGAGCUAACAUCAUAAGCUUUCUGUACCAAAAAAAAAAAAA
rnacentral:lncRNA from 1 species